rnacentral:rRNA from 1 species
UACGUAGGGGGCGAGCGUUGUCCGGAAUUAUUGGGCGUAAAGGGUUCGCAGGCGGUCUGAUAAGUCAGAUGUGAAAGGCUAUGGCUUAACCAUAGUAAGCAUUUGAAACUGUCAGACUUGAGUUAAGGAGAGGAAAGUGGAAUUCCUAGUGUAGCGGUGAAAUGCGUAGAUAUUAGGAGGAAUACCAGUGGCGAAGGCGACUUUCUGGACUUAAACUGACGCUGAGGAACGAAAGCGUGGGGAGC